ACCCCCUUGUGUGCGCCUCUCGGGGGGGGCCCUUGUCAGGGACUCAGGAUCACCCCGCACGGCUUUUUGAUCUCAGAAGAGCUGGGAGGCCGAAUCCCCUCUUGGGGCUCGCUCCUUUUCUCCAGGUUACAUUUGUUUGUGCCGCUCGAGGUUCUGCCGAGCACCCGGAAUCUCUACCAUUGAUCCUUCAUAGUGAGACACCCGACAUAUGGCGCCCCCACUACCCCUUCCCACUGACCCACCCACACCCCAGGGUUCACGAUUUUGGGUGCUCCUCCACUUUACCUUGCCACCUCCGAAUGCCCUUUUCUUCCCCCUCACUCUCAUCUCAAGGUUCAGGCCUCUGCACUGACCUGAGCUGGAACGACUUGGCUGGAACUCUGCACGUUUCAGUGAUGCCCCCUUCUCAGUAGUACCUUUAACUUACGACGUUGCCACCUGUGGGAUCCCUGCCCAGGCGUCUCUCGUGCAGCCCCUCUUUGCUCUCCGAAUCUCACCAAGUGGUAGUUUGCAGUACCCUGACUCUUCUUCCUUUCCUUCGGAUCCCCUUUUAUUCUGGUGUAACCUCUAACUCUCCUUUGCCCCAGCUGGUAGCAGAUCUGCCACUCCCCUCCCGUUCCCUGUGGAUAUCCGAUUGUCCUGGGUUGUUUGUGGCCUUUCCCAGUAAUGGUGGUUGGUCAUGUUUGAGGGCUGUCCCAUUCUAAACAGUAACAUUCCUUUUCUCCUCAGUGAACAUCGUUCCACCCUAGGCAUGCAGGACUGGGAGACGCUUACAUGUCUCCCGCCCAGUCCACCCUCAUAUGUCCCUUGAAGACAGUUGGCCUCUGGUAACCCAGGAAGAUCUGAUACUGCGUGCCUGCCAUGUGGAGCCCUCCAGCCUACGCCUGGACGAAGAGGGUGGCAGGUUCCCAAGGGAGAGGUGGGGAGAAGGGGCCUUUGAGGGGUCCUGUGGGGUGUGGAAAUUUCUUCCUGCUACCUUUUCCCUUUUAGGUUCUGCAGAUACAAUCUAGUUUUUAAUCCCUCCUUCCCUAGCUAA